UACGUAGGGGGCGAGCGUUGUCCGGAUUUAUUGGGCGUAAAGAGCGUGUAGGCGGCCAGGUAGGUCUGCUGUGAAAACUCGAGGCUCAACCUCGAGACGUCGGCGGAAACCAUCUGGCUAGAGUCCGGAAGAGGAGAGUGGAACUCCGAGUGUAGAGGUGAAAUUCGUAGAUAUUCGGAAGAACACCAGUGGCGAAGGCGGCUCACUGGCCCGGUACUGACGCUGAGGUGCGAAAGCGUGGGGAGCAAACAGG
rnacentral:rRNA from 1 species